GGGGUUGUGGCUCAGCGGUAGAGCACUUUCCUAGUACAUGCAAGAGCCUGGGUUCCAUCCUCAGCACCACA
rnacentral:tRNA from 1 species